AGGGGAGCAUUAACUCCAAGACUCUCUACUGUCUCACCACAGAUGGGAACCCAGUCCACAGAGAGCCUGGCAGAGCUCUGCACAGUGAGCACGGUGCAGGCAGGGCCGCCCCACACCGUGAUGGAGCCCCUGGAGCAGGACUUUCCAGAGAGGAAGAGCAGCUAGGUGAACUUCUGCAAAGUCAAGGAUGACAGACUCCUGAGGGUAUCCCAGAAGCAUUGAAAGUGGAAUGGUCCAGGGAAGGAAUAAGGGAGGAGAAGAGGAGCACAGAAAAAGGACCAGGAAAAGGUAAUCUUCCCUGACUCUGAAAUAUGUGCCACACAAGUCUCCACUGUCUGUAAGCAGAAGGCAUACCAAGCCACAACAUUUUUUAAAAAAUUUAGGGGCCCAAGUAGACAUCUGUUUGGUGGUCCUGUCUGACCCAAGAAUAAAAUGUGAAAUACCAGAAGUGAUCAACAAACUCUAUACCUUUUGAAUAUUUUAUAAAUACUUAAUCUAGGCUUGGUGUAUACAUUGCAUAUAAGUCAACAUUCCCACCAAGAAAACUCUUUGAUUACUGUUUACUUUUCAACCUACCAUGAACUACUUUGAUUCUACCCCUACUAGACCCAGUUUCUUCUGUCCUGGAAAAGUCAUCAGUUACCUGAUUAGAGUCAAAACCAGUAGAAAUCCUUCAUCCUUGCUUUACUGAGCUCUCGGUUGCAUAUGACAUGUUACCACUUCUUUAAGAAAAAAAUUGUUGAAUAAUGCAUUCCUAAGGUUCAAAAUUCUAAAAAGUAAAAAAUUGUGAUUCCACCCGCAGGUGACCACUAGAAAAAAGCAAUUCGAGAACAGUACCUAUUUCUACCUAUCUCCUUUUUGUGUACAGAAGAUCACAUACAUACUUUCCCUGAAGAUUAUUCCAUGUCAAUAAAUGGACAGAUUCCUUGCCUUUCCCAACCCUUUAAAAAUAAGUUUUUCAGCCGGGCAUGGUG